rnacentral:lncRNA from 1 species
CUGAGGGGGCGAGUCAUCCACAGUAGACUCUGGCCUCCCAGGAAACCCUGAGCUCACGUGACACAUGUGACAGUUACCGCCUAGCGCAGAGAGUUCGUGGCCGCUGCUUCCGCUGGCCCCCAGCGCCCCAGGCAUCGGGGGGUUGUUCAGAUACUCGUUGACUUUCCGGCAAUGCUCCUCAUCCUGGUCUGUCUUGGGUUCCUGCAAGAGGAAGGGCAUGUAAGGGCAGGAGCUGGCGCCAGCUCACCCAGGGCCACCACAGCCAUCCUCUGACCUGGCUUCCAGGUGAGGGACCUGAGACGCAGAGGCGCGUGUGCCUGGCCACACAAUGCUGAGGAGACAGGACCCGGCCCAGCAGUGGAAGGCAGCGAACUGGCCCGCUCAGCACACCGCGGCCCAGGGCCACGGCAGGCGCUCACAAUCGAGCACACGCGUGUGCACACACAUGUGCACAGAUCAGUGUCAGAAGCAUCGACCUGCGAGCUCACAGAGCUGGGAGCAGAGCACCCACGCACACCCCGAAUGGCUAUGGAAGCUGCAGGGCGCCAGGGACACUGGGAGUCCCUGCUCUCAUGGCAAAGCAGGGACGGGGGACUUAAAAGCCACCAACAGGAAAAUCGGGGAAAAAAGGGAGAUGGUGGUAACAGUUGGACACUAUUUCUUGGCAAAACCGUGGAAAAACACGUUCUACACCAGCAGGUGGCAAAUUGUGGCCGCCAUCUGUGUUUGCAAAUAAAGUUUAACUGGAGUUU